rnacentral:rRNA from 1 species
UUUGAUCCUGGCUCAGGACGAACGCUGGCGGCGCGCCUAACACAUGCAAGUCGAGCGGAGUUGGAAUUUCGGUUUUAACUUAGCGGCGGACGGGUGAGUAACGCGUGAGCAACCUGCCCUUCAGCGGGGGAUAGCGUCUGGAAACGGACGGUAAUACCGCAUAAUGUGCGGAGAAGACAUCUUCACUGCACCAAAGGAUUUAUCCACUGAAGGAUGGGCUCGCGUCCGAUUAGGUAGUUGGCGGGGUAACGGCCCACCAAGCCCGCGAUCGGUAGCCGGACUGAGAGGUUGAUCGGCCACAUUGGGACUGAGACACGGCCCAGACUCCUACGGGAGGCAGCAGUGGGGGAUAUUGCACAAUGGAGGAAACUCUGAUGCAGCGACGCCGCGUGAGGGAAGAAGGUCUUCGGAUUGUAAACMUMUGUCUUUAGGGACGAAGAAAGUGACGGUACCUAAAGAGGAAGCCACGGCUAACUACGUGCCAGCAGCCGCGGUAAUACGUAGGUGGCGAGCGUUGUCCGGAUUUACUGGGUGUAAAGGGUGCGUAGGCGGGUUAUCAAGUUGGGUGUGAAACCUCCGUGCUUAACACGGAGCCUGCAUUCAAAACUGGUAAUCUUGAGUGAGGUAGAGGUAGAUGGAAUUCCCGGUGUAGCGGUGAAAUGCGUAGAGAUCGGGAGGAACACCAGUGGCGAAGGCGGUCUACUGGGCCUUAACUGACGCUGAGGCACGAAAGCAUGGRUAGCARACAGGAUUAGAUACCCUGGUAGUCCAUGCUGUUAACGCUUUUUCUAGGUGUGGGUGGACUGACCCCAUCCGUGCCGGAGUCAACACAAUAAGCAAUCCMACC